rnacentral:rRNA from 1 species
CCCUACGGGGGGCAGCAGUGGGGAAUAUUGCACAAUGGGGGAAACCCUGAUGCAGCGACGCCGCGUGAGUGAAGAAGUAUUUCGGUAUGUAAAGCUCUAUCAGCAGGGAAGAUAAUGACGGUACCUGACUAAGAAGCCCCGGCUAACUACGUGCCAGCAGCCGCGGUAAUACGUAGGGGGCAAGCGUUAUCCGGAUUUAUUGGGUUUAAAGGGAGCGUAGGCCGCAUGUCAAGCGUGCUGUGAAAUGUCCGGGCUCAACCCGGGCCUUGCAGCGCGAACUGGCGUGCUUGAGUCCGCGGAAAGCA